GACAGCAGCAUCAAACUACAUAGAGAAACAUCACUUCUUGGCUGGUACAACUUCACUCUUCUUAUGCACAACAUGUAUAGCCAUAAUCACCAUUUUCACCUCAUUUUCCACGAUACACGCAUUAAACACACAAACAACAUACUAUUUCAACCAAACAAACACAAAUCAACCCAUAAAGAGAUCGAAACCUGCGAUUUAUUCAAGGGGCGAUGGAUUCCAGACGAGGCCAGCCCUUUGUACACCAACUACAGCUGCACAACGAUUCCAUUCACGAAAAACUGUUUGUUGCAGGGAAGAAAAGAUAGAUAUUUUCUUCAUUGGAGAUGGAAACCAGACAAAUGCGAGCUGGCUCGUUUUAGUGCACAGACAUUUCUUAGGAUUCUCCGAGGUAAGAAGAUGGCUUUCAUCGGUGAUUCUUUAGCGAGGAAUCGCUGCUUUGUCUCCUCUCCACGGAAGAAACUCCAAAACUAGAAGAAAAAGACGCAGACGACAAAUUCACAAGAUGGGAGUUUCGUCAACACAAUUUCACACUAACGGUAUUCUGGUCUCCUUUCUUAGUCACAGCCACCGCAGAGAUCGUAGUCAACACCUCCCCUUUAUAAACAGAGUUAUCUACCACCUUAUUGAUGCUAGACAAGAAAGAGUUCAUAAAACUAGCUAUGAGUUUGCUUACCUUCUUAAACACACAGUACUACUAUUAAUUUGAUUAAUUUCGGCUUAAGUUCAAAAUAUUUGACAACCGGGCUCAUGGGCUCGUGAACUCUGUAUUGGGUUGGGCUAUUUAAAAUCCAAGGCUUUAUAAAAUUAGUGAAUUUUUAUUGGA